AGUGAACGCUGGCGGUAGGCCUAACACAUGCAAGUCGAACGGCAGCACAGUAAGAGCUUGCUCUUACGGGUGGCGAGUGGCGGACGGGUGAGGAAUACAUCGGAAUCUACUUUUUCGUGGGGGGUAACGUAGGGAAACUUACGCUAAUACCGCAUACGACCUACGGGUGAAAGCAGGGGAUCUUCGGACCUUGCGCGAUUGAAUGAGCCGAUGUCGGAUUAGCUAGUUGGCGGGGUAAAGGCCCACCAAGGCGACGAUCCGUAGCUGGUCGGAGAGGAUGAUCAGCCACACUGGAACUGAGACACGGUCCAGACUCCUACGGGAGGCAGCAGUGGGGAAUAUUGGACAAUGGGCGCAAGCCUGAUCCAGCCAUACCGCGUGGGUGAAGAAGGCCUUCGGGUUGUAAAGCCCUUUUGUUGGGAAAGAAAAGCAGCAGGUUAAUACCCCGCUGUUCUGACGGUACCCAAAGAAUAAGCACCGGCUAACUUCGUG
rnacentral:rRNA from 1 species